GGAAGUGGCUAAGCCACAGCUCCUGGUUGAAAAUGGAUUCAUGAAGAAACAGGUCACCCUGCACAGUCUCCAAGUCUAUGACAUGGGGCAGGCCCUAACCGUAGACAAAGAACUGCCAGCAACUAAGGAAUGCUGAGAAUGUUUCCCAGGGAGGAUCCCUCUAGUUGGUUGUUCAAAACCAGGUGAUCAGCUCUGAAAUCAUGAUCCUUCCAUGACUCAUCACAAGGAAAUGGGAAAUGUGACAUGUUUCAUAAGAAGAUUAUCAACAUGUCAGCCUGGUGAGAAUCUAAAGACUAUUGAGAUAUUGUACCAGAUAACAGAACUUAUAGUAGAUGUGAAAAUGCUGUAGUUUUCAUGAGCAAAAAUAGAUGGAACAGUGUGUGUGUGUGUGUGUGUGUGUGUGUACUCAUCACACAUAUGUGGAAUUUUCAAGAAUAAUAACUUGCAUGUAAAUAAUCAAAGUGAAUAUGCUGUUAGUAAGAUGAUGCCUUUAAAUUUUUGAGUGUUUUAAAUAAAAGGUUCAUCUGAAGAUUGGUAUCAGGCCUUCAAAGGAAUACUUACCUCUAGUUCCUUGAUUAAAA